rnacentral:rRNA from 1 species
UGGGGAAUAUUGCACAAUGGGCGCAAGCCUGAUGCAGCCAUGCCGCGUGUAUGAAGAAGGCCUUCGGGUUGUAAAGUACUUUCAGUCGGGAGGAAGGUGGUAAGGUUAAUAACCUUGGCAAUUGACGUUACCGACAGAAGAAGCACCGGCUAACUCCGUGCCAGCAGCCGCGGUAAUACGGAGGGUGCAAGCGUUAAUCGGAAUUACUGGGCGUAAAGCGCACGCAGGCGGUUGAUUGAGUCAGAUGUGAAAUCCCCGGGCUUAACCCGGGAAUUGCAUCUGAUACUGGUCAGCUAGAGUCUUGUAGAGGGGGGUAGAAUUCCAUGUGUAGCGGUGAAAUGCGUAGAGAUGUGGAGGAACACCAGUGGCGAAGGCGGCCCCCUGGACGAAGACUGACGCUCAGGUGCGAAAGCGUGGGGAGCAAACAGG